rnacentral:rRNA from 1 species
GGAGUUAGCCGGUGCUUCUUCUGCGAGUAACGUCACAGAUGUAAGGUAUUAACUUACACCCUUUCCUCCUCGCUGAAAGUGCUUUACAACCCGAAGGCCUUCUUCACACACGCGGCAUGGCUGCAUCAGGGUUUUCCCCCAUUGUGCAAUAUUCCCCACUGCUGCCUCCCGUAGGAGUCUGGGCCGUGUCUCAGUCCCAGUGUGGCUGAUCAUCCUCUCAGACCAGCUAGGGAUCGUCGCCUAGGUGAGCCUUUACCUCACCUACUAGCUAAUCCCACCUGGGCUUAUCCAUCAGCGCAAGGCCCGAAGGUCCCCUGCUUUCCCCCGUAGGGCGUAUGCGGUAUUAGCAGUCGUUUCCAACUGUUAUCCCCCACAAAUGGGCAAAUUCCCAGGCAUUACUCACCCGUCCGCCGCUCGUCAUCUUCAAAAGCAAGCUUUUGAAAUGUUACCGCUCGACUUGCAUGUGUUAGGCCUGCCGCCAGCGUUCAAUCUGAGCCAGAAUCAAACUCUGA